rnacentral:misc_RNA from 1 species
CCUAGAGUAUGCGGGCUUUGCCUGCCAUCUCUUACCCAUGUCUUUUGAGUACCUUCGUUUCCUCGGCGGGUCCGCCUGCCGACUGGACAAUUUAAACCAUUUGCAGUUGCAAUCAGCGUCUGAAAAAACUUAAUAGUUA